rnacentral:tRNA from 1 species
GCCUGGGUAGCUCAGUCAUUUGAGCGUCUGGCUUCGGCUCAGGUCAUGAUCUCACGGCCUGUGGGUUCGAGCCCCACGUCGGGCU